rnacentral:snoRNA from 1 species
GUACAAUGAUGAUUUUUAUUUUAUUUUAAUCACGACGGUCAACAUAAUCAAAUACAUUGAUGACCACCGCCUGUGACAGGGCAUUUAAUCUGAAA